CGUGUAACAAACGGCUCGUCUGAAAUGCUUGAGUGUACCCUGCUUUGCAGCGUAUUCGGUGUGAUAAAUCUUCACCGGAGUUUUGACUUUUAGGUCAGCGCUUGUAUUGUUUAGGCUCUAUGCUUCCAACCGUCUCUAACAAGGACAAUAUACUCUGACAAUUUGACCUCAAAUCGGGUGGGACUACCCGCUGAACUUAA
rnacentral:misc_RNA from 1 species